GAUGAACGCUGGCGGCGUGCCUAAUACAUGCAAGUCGAGCGAACGGACGAGAAGCUUGCUUCUCUGAUGUUAGCGGCGGACGGGUGAGUAACACGUGGAUAACCUACCUAUAAGACUGGGAUAACUUCGGGAAACCGGAGCUAAUACCGGAUAAUAUUUUGAACCGCAUGGUUCAAAAGUGAAAGACGGUCUUGCUGUCACUUAUAGAUGGAUCCGCGCUGCAUUAGCUAGUUGGUAAGGUAACGGCUUACCAAGGCAACGAUGCAUAGCCGACCUGAGAGGGUGAUCGGCCACACUGGAACUGAGACACGGUCCAGACUCCUACGGGAGGCAGCAGUAGGGAAUCUUCCGCAAUGGGCGAAAGCCUGCCGGAGCAACGCCGCGUGAGUGAUGAAGGUCUUCGGAUCGUAAAACUCUGUUAUUAGGGAAGAACAUAUGUGUAAGUAACUGUGCACAUCUUGACGUUACCUAAUCAGAAAGCCACGGCUAACUACGU
rnacentral:rRNA from 1 species